rnacentral:rRNA from 1 species
CAGUCGCCGCGGUAACACGAGGGGGGCAAGUGUUGUUCGGAAUUAUUGGGCGUAAAGGGUGCGUAGGCGGUUCAGCAAGUCUCGUGUGAAAUCUUCGGGCUCAACCCGAAGUCUGCACGGGAAACUACUGGGCUUGAGUAAUGGAGAGGUGAGUGGAAUUUCCGGUGUAGCGGUGAAAUGCGUAGAGAUCGGGAGGAACAUCAGUGGCGAAGGCGGCCAUCUGGGACAACACUGACGCUGAGGCACGAAAGCGUGGGGAGCAAACAGGAUUAGAUACCCCAGUAGUCCCUGUCUCUUAUAA